UACGAAGGGUGCAAGCGUUACUCGGAAUUACUGGGCGUAAAGCGUGCGUAGGUGGUUUGUUAAGUCUGAUGUGAAAGCCCUGGGCUCAACCUGGGAAUUGCAUUGGAUACUGGCAGGCUAGAGUGCGGUAGAGGGUAGUGGAAUUCCCGGUGUAGCAGUGAAAUGCGUAGAGAUCGGGAGGAACACCAGUGGCGAAGGCGAGUCCCUGGACAACUUCUGACGCUGAGGCACGAAAGCUAGGGGAGCAAACGGG
rnacentral:rRNA from 1 species